rnacentral:lncRNA from 1 species
GAAAUAAUCUGGCUGGAAAAGAAUAGAUGAGAAUCAUGAGACCUGGAUUCUCAUCUCUAAGUGCACAUGGGAAUCACCUUGGUCCUACACCCAGAUAUUCUGGUUUAUCUUGGUCCUACACCCAGAUAAUCGGUCUGAGUGUGGCCUGACAUUGGGAUUUUUUAUGCUCCCCCAAAUGGCUGCAGUAUACACCCAUAUUGACAACCACUGUUAUAAGGGACUAGAUAAGGCACAAC